rnacentral:rRNA from 1 species
GAUGAACGCUGGCGGCGUGCCUAAUACAUGCAAGUCGAGCGAACAGACGAGGAGCUUGCUCCUCUGACGUUAGCGGCGGACGGGUGAGUAACACGUGGAUAACCUACCUAUAAGACUGGGAUAACUUCGGGAAACCGGAGCUAAUACCGGAUAAUAUAUUGAACCGCAUGGUUCAAUAGUGAAAGACGGUUUUGCUGUCACUUAUAGAUCGAUCCGCGCCGCAUUAGCUAGUUGGUAAGGUAACGGCUUACCAAGGCAACGAUGCGUAGCCGACCUGAGAGGGUGAUCGGCCACACUGGAACUGAGACACGGUCCAGACUCCUACGGGGGGCAGCAGUAGGGAAUCUUCCGCAAUGGGCGAAAGCCUGACGGAGCAACGCCGCGUGAGUGAUGAAGGUCUUCGGAUCGUAAAACUCUGUUAUUAGGGAAGAACAAAUGUGUAAGUAACUAUGCACGUCUUGACGGUACCUAAUCAGAAAGCCACGGCUAACUACGUG